rnacentral:rRNA from 1 species
GAUGAACGCUGGCGGCGUGCUUAACACAUGCAAGUCGAACGAAGCAUCUCUCCCGAAGAUUGACACAGCUUGCUGUAGAUUGAUUCAUUUGAGGUGACCGAGUGGCGGACGGGUGAGUAACGCGUGGGUAACCUGCCUCAUAGAGGGGGACAACAGUUGGAAACGACUGCUAAUACCGCAUAGUAAGAAGAAUUCGCAUGUUUUCUUCUUGAAAGAUUUAUCGCUAUGAGAUGGACCCGCGUCUGAUUAGCUAGUUGGUAAGGUAACGGCUUACCAAGGCGACGAUCAGUAGCCGGCUUGAGAGAGUGAACGGCCACAUUGGGACUGAGACACGGCCCAAACUCCUACGGGAGGCAGCAGUGGGGAAUAUUGCACAAUGGGGGAAACCCUGAUGCAGCGACGCCGCGUGAGUGAAGAAGUAUUUCGGUAUGUAAAGCUCUAUCAGCAGGGAAGAUAAUGACGGUACCUGACUAAGAAGCCCCGGCUAACUACGUG